rnacentral:tRNA from 1 species
AUUUGUAUAAUAUAUUAGUAUAUUUAACUUCCAAUUAAAAAGUUUAUGUGAUAAUGCAAAUA